rnacentral:rRNA from 1 species
AUUCCAGCUCCAAUAGCGUAUAUUAAAGUUGUUGCAGUUAAAAAGCUCGUAGUUGGAUUUGUGGUGCGUACGCGGGCGCCCGGCUUUGUGCCGGUGUGCUCGUGUCGCGCCAUCCUUGGGUGGAAUCUGUGUGGCAUUAGGUUGUCGCGCAGGGGAUGCCCAUCGUUUACUGUGAAAAAAUUAGAGUGUUCAAAGCAGGCUUAUGCCGUUGAAUAUAUUAGCAUGGAAUAAUAAGAUAGGUCUCUGGUCCUAUUUUGUUGGUUUGCGGGCCAAAGAAAUGAUUAACAGGGACAGUUGGGGGUAUUCGUAUUCCAUUGUCAGAGGUGAAAUUCUUGGAUUUCUGGAAGACGAACUACUGCGAAAGCAUUUACCAAGGAUGUUUUC